rnacentral:lncRNA from 1 species
UUAUUAACCCCGCCCCUUCCGCCCCCGCGCCGCGGCCACGCCCCCUUCCUCACCGCCCGCCGCCGGGAAGAGCGCGGGGGCGCUUUAAUGGGCGGGGACGAGCUGUGCUGCGGGGGCGGGGCUUGGGUUAGGGGCGGGGCUCUGCGUGGGGGCGGGGCUUGGCGUCACCCCACCCCUCUCGGCCAGCAGCGCGUCCAGCUCUCCGCGCAUGCGCUCUAGCGCCGCCGCCAUGUCACGCAGGGCCGCGGCCUGCUCCUCUUCGCGGCGCCGCGCCUGCCCCGCCUGCCGGGAGUACUCGAGGUAGAGGCACAGCCCCCCCACGCCGAACACGAUGGCUUCCCCCAGCAGCUCGGCCCCCAGCUCGGCCGCCGCCUCCUCGUUCAGCGGUUUGACGGCGGCGCCGCGGAAGCCCAUGAUCCGCAUCUUGGCGCGCAUCUCCACCCAGUGGUACAGCUGUGCAGGCGGCAGGCAGAUGUAGGUCCGGAAGAAGGGGCUGGCGCGGGCCCCGGCCUUGAUGCGGGCGGCCAGCGGGCGGCUGAGCUGGCGGGCGCCGAGGGUCAGCAGCUUGGCGAUGGGGAAGGCGCCCGCCACCAUCGUCCGAACGCCGGAUGAUGACGUCAGAGCCGCGCGACUCCGCGGACGGGGCGGGGCUACGCGGUGGUCACGCCCCGCCCCCUUCUAGGCCACGCCCCUUUCUCUGUCCCGCCCCGCCCGUAGGGAUUGGCCGCCACUUAGCCACGCCCCCAGCUAGGCUCCGCCAAUAGGCUGCCUUUCCUGCGCUCUGCCACGCCCACACGGGUUAGGCCACGCCCACGGGUGCGGUCCGGCCCGGCGUUAAC